rnacentral:rRNA from 1 species
UACGUAGGGUGCGAGCGUUGUCCGGAAUUAUUGGGCGUAAAGAGCUCGUAGGCGGCUUGUCGCGUCGGAUGUGAAAGCCCGGGGCUUAACUCCGGGUCUGCAUUCGAUACGGGCAGGCUAGAGUUCGGUAGGGGAGACUGGAAUUCCUGGUGUAGCGGUGAAAUGCGCAGAUAUCAGGAGGAACACCGGUGGCGAAGGCGGGUCUCUGGGCCGAUAUUGACGCUGAGGAGCGAAAGCGUGGGGAGCGAACAGG